rnacentral:tRNA from 1 species
AAUUCGGUGACCGAAGUUUAGGUGAUAGAUUUUUAAUCUAUUUAUGGAUUUAGUCCUCGAAUUG